GGAUGUGAGGGCGAUCUGGCUGCGACAUCUGUCACCCCAUUGAUCGCCAGGGUUGAUUAGGCUGAUCCAGCUGGCUUCCUCCCUCAGGGAUCCAUGUGCGUCCCCUCCUCCCAAAGCUGCGCACGUGGUGGAAGAAGACCCCCUUCCCCGAAUAGAGACCAACUGCUGGCUGGUUGAGGGUAUAGGAGUCGCUGCACUCCCCUGCUAGGACCUCCGAACAAGCUCUCAACUCUGUGUGAUGUAAAAUGGCUCUGAGAUUUUACCAUUAUCUAAGGUAAAGCCGGUGAGCUAGGGAAGUUU
ensembl:misc_RNA 7SK 7SK RNA